rnacentral:misc_RNA from 1 species
GAUGAAGAACGUAGCGAAAUGCGAUAAGUAAUGUGAAUUGCAGAAUUCAGUGAAUCAUCGAAUCUUUGAACGCAUCUUGCGCUCCUUGGUAUUCCGAGGAGCAUGCCUGUUUGAGUGUCAUCAAGUUCUCAAACUGCAUCCAUUUGAAGGGUGUGGAUUUGGAUUAUGGAGUUUGCAGGCUCUUUGAUUGAGGUCUGCUCCUCUGAAAUGUAUUAGUGGCGAUGUGGAAAAGCUACUGUGGGUGUGAUAAAUAUCUAUGCCUUAUGCAGUGUUCUGCUAUGCCGCUUGCAGGGAGAAAUUUCAUUUUUGACAAACUUGACCUCAAAUCAGGUAGGACUACCCGCUGAACUUAAGCAUAUCAAUAAGCGGAGGA